UUGUUCCCGGCCUCAUUUAAACUUGCCUUGAUGUGUUGUUCUUGUGUGCAUCAUCUCUUGCCAUGAGUAGCUUCAUGUAGCUUGGUCAUGCAUCAUGCUUGUUGUGCAUCAUGUCAUGUUCAUGUGUGGUGUGUUUACCAUGUAGUGUGCUUCUUCUCGAUAGUUCCCGUUUCGUUGCGAUCGUGAGGAUUCGUUCGUCUUCGGUUGGUUCGGCUUCAUCCGUUCAUCUUCUUCAUGGACUCGUUCUUCUUCCUUGCGGGAUUUCAGGCAAGAUGACCGCUACCCUGGAUCUCACUACUAUCAUUGCUAUGCUAGUUGCCUCGUUCUUUCGCUAUGCUGCGCUACCUAUUACCUGUUUGUCCAGCCAUCCCAUAUUGCCAUGAACCUCUAACCUUUGACACCUUUCCUAUGCAAACCGUUGUUUGGCUAUGUUACCGCUUUUGCUCAGCCCCUCUUAUAGCGUUGCUAGUUGCAGGUGAAGUUGAAGAUUUCUCCAUGGUGGACAGGGUUUAUGUUGGGAUAUCAUAAUAUCUCUUAUAUUAUUAAUGCAUCUAUAUACUUGGUAAAGGGUGGAAGGCUCGGCCUUAUGCCUGGUGUUUUGUUCCACUCUUGCCGCCCUAGUUUCCGUCAUACCGGUGUUAUGUUCCCGGAUUUUGCGUUCCUUACACGGUCGGGUGAUUUAUGGGACCCCCCUGACAGUUCGCUUUGAAUAAAACUUGUCCAGCAAGGCCCAACAUUGACUUUUACCAUUUGCCUCACCUAGCCCUUUUUCCCUUGGGAGUCGCGCUCUCGAGGGUCAUCUUUAUUUACCCCCCCCCCCGGGCCAGUGCUCGUUGUGAGUGUUGGUCCAAACCGUCAGCCGCCAGUGGCCACCAGGGGCAACUCUGGGCUGGCUUACCGGAAGUUUGGACAAUCCGGUGUGCCCUGAGAACGAGAUAUGUGCAGCUCCUAUCAGGAUUUGUCGGCACAUUCGGGCGGCUUUGCUGGUCUUGUUUUACCAUUGUCGAAAUGUCUUGAUGUACCGGGAUUCCGAGACUGAUCGGGUCUUCCUGGGUGAAGGUCUAUUCCUUCGAUGAUCGCGAGAGCCUGUCAUGGGCUAAGUUGGGACACCCCUGCAGGGUAUAAACUUUCGAGAGCCGUGCCCGCGGUUAUGUGGCAGAUGGGAAUUUGUUAAUGUCCGGUUGUAGACAACUUGACACUUGAUCCGAAUUAAAAUGCAUCAACCGAGUGUGUAGCCGUGAUGGUCUCUUCUCGGCGGAGUCCGGGAAGUGAACACGACUUCUGUGUUAUGUUUGACGUAAGUAGGUGUUCAGGAUCACCUCUUGAUCAUUGCUAGCUUCACGUCCGUUCCGCUUGUUCUCUUCUCGCUCUUAUUUGCGUUGGUUAGCCACCAUACCUUUGCUUAGUCGCUGCUGCAACCUCACCACUUUGCCCCUUCCUUUCCCAUUAAGCUUUGCUAGUCUUGAUACCCAUGGUAAUGGGAUUGCUGAGUCCUCGUGGCUCACCAGAUACUUCCAAAACCAGUUUGCAGGUGCCUAUGUUACCGAGCAGGUGACGCAACCAAGCUCAAGGAGGAGCUCGAUGAAGAUCUUGCCUUUUGUGUUGUUUCGUUCUAGUUGAUCAGUAGUGGAGCCCAGUUGGGGUCGAUCGGGGACCUUUUGUCGCAUUUGGGGUUCUUCUUUUAUUUUGGUUCCGUAGCCAGACCUUGAUUGUAUCUGGAUGAUGUAAUGCUUUAUUCAUGUAAUUGUGUGAAGUGGCGAUUGUAAGCCAACUAUGUAUCUCUUUCCCUUAUGUAUUACUUGGGAUGUGUGAAGAUUACCUCACUUGCGACAUUGCUUUCAAUGCGGUUAUGCCUCUAAGUCGUGCUUCAACACGUGGGAGAUAUAGCCGCAUCGAGGGCGUUACAAGUUGGUAAUCAGAGCCUUCCCCGACCUUAGGAGCCCCACUGCUUGAUCGUUUUUAGUGGCCGAGUUGUGUCUAGAAAAAUGUUUUGAGUCAUUUAGGAAUUAUAUAUCGGAGAGUAGGAUUGUUUUUACUCCCCAGUCCCUUCGACCUUCUGGUGAGGUAUCCUGACAUAGAGUUUUGACUCUUCUCUUCUUAAAUUUCACUAAAUUUUUUUUUUUAGGAUCACGGUAUCUUGGAAUCGUUCCGAUAUUCUUAUGACGAGAACAUUGUUCUUGGUGCCUCCUAACAUUUAGGGGUUGUGGCAGUGUCCCGGGGAGUUGAGCUCCGAGGUGUUGUCGUCAUAAUUUUAUCGUUGCAGUUCUGGAAUACCUGAGUUUAGUACGCCGACAUCGAAAAUCUCUUUUAUGCAGUUGUUGGUGAGAUAACCCCGCUAACCCAGUACUGAGGUGAGUACGGGAGUAUUGCCAUGACUCGUAUAACGGAUGCUUUUCGAAGGUUGAGGUAGACGAUUUCCGAAGGUUUCUUGGUUAUGUGUUGACGGAUGGAUACAGCUGGAUGUAGGGAUUGUUAGUUUGGGUGAUAUAUAUUGCUCCCCUGUAUCCCCAACACCAGAUUGCAUAACCAGAAAGUUUUGGGAGUUUCAUAGGUGGGAAUUCAAGUAGCUCUUAGGAUAUCUUUCUGACGGAUGUAUGAUAUGAAAUUGGGGCUCGAAGUCUAGUGGUCCGCCUAUUCACGGUUGGCUUUACAGUGGUCUCGUUGUGUCUUAAAGAGUCCUUGGCUAUGCCAACUCGGGGACGCUUCGUAUGUCAUGUGCACUGCCUUGUACAUGAUGGUGCUGUACGAUUGAGCCCGUGUAGGCCCCACCACAAAAACUUCAGACGAAAUCUCUAUCAUAUGUUUGUUCCGGCUUAUUCUGCAAGCCAGUACUUUGUUUUUGUUUUGAGUUGUGGUAUUCGAGUUGCUUCAAUGUCAAGUGUUGAUUCCAUACCUUUCCUAAAUGGUGGUCUCAUACUCCGAUGUGAAUACCAAUCCUUCUCGACAAUCGAGAUUGUCAUGUCAAUCCUUUUCAACCGGUGUGCUUCUCUUCAAGUGGAUCCCAUCAUUUUUCCCAUCCGGAAGAUCAAAUCUAAGUUUUCUCAACGGUGUUUGUUUCAUCCAUCCCAAGUUGUCUUUGUUUUCCCGCCCACCCACCCUUUUUCCUCAAGGACUCAGAUUUCUUAACCAAGUAUCCAUUUAUUCAUGUGAAGUUUCUCCAUUCUUUUCCGUCAAUGUUCUUACCCGGUGGUUCUCAAGAAGAUGUCCUACUAGUUUGUCAUUCGUCAUUCCUUUCUCUUCUCCGGUGGAUUCAAGUCAAGUUUUGUUGAUCAUAUCUUUUUCCUCAUUUCAAUGUCUUCUCAUACCGGUGCACCUCAUUAUCAUUCUACUUCUCGCUAUUUGUUAUUCCGGAGUGCUCAAGAUAUCUCGAAGAUUUGCGUUUCCAUUCUCAAUCCCUUCAAGAUAUUUCGAGAUUGGUAUCCCAUUCAAGUCAUUUAAUUCAACCGGUGCAACAUCUCUUUUAAAUAAUUUCCGAUGGUGUUUCUUUUGAGUGGGCCCUAACCCACAGGUCUUUUUCCAGGAUCUUACCUGACUCUUCUAUUUUCCCAGAGCUAUCCUAAAUUCUUCUCCAAGUUUGACGUAAGAAUGAGUUAUCAUCAGUCAAAUGCUUUCUCCAAGAUCUUUUAAAUUCUUUUCAUAGUUGGCUCAACUUCUUCGCUUUUGAUUCUUCCGGUGUGCCUCAAUAAUUCUCGGUGGUGUUUCUCGUCAUCAUUCUCAACAUUUGAAGACCGAAGAAGAGUUUCUCUUUAAUCUUGCUCUAUUCUCUUCAAGAUGCGUGGUUCUAGCUUGUUGCCAUCCUCUCAUAAUUGUUUUCGAUUGUGAGAAUUCUUUUCACCCAUCCGGAGCAUUUCAUGAGUUGUUUCCAUUUCUUUCUUCCGAAGGCCAUCAUUUCUGAAUACUACUCAUUCUCAGCUUUCAGCUCUCGUUCUUGAAUUCUUACCGGUGAAUCGUUCAAUUAUCCUCUAAUCAGUUCAUGUUCUCUUCAUUCUCAUGUAUCUAAAUCCCCUCAAGUAUCUUCAUUCGUCUUCCAAUUCUUCCGGUGAAUUGUGCAUUUGCUACUCUCUUUUUCAAUUCUUACGGUGGUUCUUUCAAGAUCUCUCUUCCUUGUUCAUCAUAUCAAUAUUUGUUGUUUCCAAAUCCCACCGGUGGUUCCAUCAAUACCUUCUCAAGCUUGCGCCAUAUCUAUCUUAAUCCUUUCUACGAGAAUAAGUAGUAUGCCAAAUCCAUUGCUUGUCAUCAAUCUAAUUGGUGAAGGAUGAGCAUAAUGUAAUUCUUAUUCUUGUUUCAUCGAGUAAAUUCAAUUCUUUUCUUCCGGAGAUUGUUCAGGAUGAAGUAAUUCUCGGUUCUAGUGUUCAUCUUUUCUUUCCAGAGUUCCAAGUUUUCUUGGAUGUCUCGUCACGAAGCUCCACCUAUAUCAUUGCAAGGCUUCAAUCUUGUUUGCUUCAACCUUCAAUUCUUGUAUGUUAUCAUUUCCUAUCCGGAGUUCUUCAUGCAGGCAACAUGGUGAUUCGUCAAGGAUUCUAUUCAUUCUUCAAUUGUUCUUCAAGUUUUCUCUUGAAGUUAUGACCCGCCAAGCUAUACUCUAAAAUAAACAUGGUGCUCAACACAUGUUUUGUUUUGAGGAGCUCAAGUAUUCUUCAUCUUGCAUCCCAAAGUGCAAUUCUUCUCCAUUAUCUGUUGAGGUGGUGUUAUGUCACUCUUGACAAUUUCCUUCUUGUUUCAUGAUUCAUAUGUUGUCAAGAAUGAGGUACUUUAAAUCCACCAAUAUCUUCCUUGGAGUCAUCUUGUGUCAUGGUUCACCUAAAGCUUUCCCUAAGGAUUGUUGCUAAUUAUGGUGCUUAUAAAUGACCCAAGUUCUUCACUUGUCCUCCCGGUGAAAUAAGUUUCUCGUCUCCUUGUUGAUAUUCAAUCCAAUCAUUUGUUUCCGUUGGUGGCAGAAGCUCACCUCAUAAUUUUGAGAUGCUUUCAUAAGCCCGCCACAAGCUUAUUCUUUUCGUUGUUGGUUUCCCAACAACCCCGUUAUAACCUUCUUAGAAGGGUGCUUUCCAAGAUCAUUUGUGGCAGAAGUUGGCAUUUUCUUCUCCGUUCUUUUAUUCAAAUGAUCUAUCUUCUAUUCUUUCGUUACGGAGGUAUGGUGAUGUUGCUCUCUUCACUAAUCAUCUCAAAUUGUGAGGAUCGUGGUCUUUUCUUGCUUAUCCAUUUAACCGGAGUGUUGUAUCAUCUCUUCAGUAUCUUUUCAUCUCAUCAAGUUUUCUUCUCUUUUCUACCGGAGUGCUGUCCAAAUUCUGUCAUGCUUGUUCCUUGUCUAUCUCAUUAUACCGAGGUGGUCAUAUUCUUUUCGUUCGUGAAACUUUUGAUUCAUGUCUUUGCAACCUUCAGUUCUCGUAAUGUUCCUUGUUCCUUUUUUCUAACGGAUUGUUUGCAAUCUCGUUCAUCUCAGUCGUACUCUUUCUUUUAAAUUGCUCAACCUCUCAAGGUCCGUUGUUUCACUCGUUUGCCGAAGAAGCAACUUAGUUUUACCUCUUCUCUUCCUCUUCCGUUUCUCUCCGGUGCCAUCCUAGAUCUCGGGACGAGAUCCUCUCGUAGUGGUGGAGUGUUGUAACGCCCCGGAUCCGAUGUGCCAGGUGUCGUCCAGUUAUUCGUUGUUGUUGCCUUGUCAUCUUCUUGCGUGUUGCAUUUUAUCAUGUCAUCAUGUGCAUUUCAUUUUGCAUACGUGUUCGUCUCAUGCAUCCGAGCCUUUUCCCCGUUGUCCGUUUUACAAUCCGGCACUCCUAUGUCCUCCGGUGUUCCCUUCUUCCCUCUUUUCGUGUGCGGGUAUUAAACUUUCUCGGAAUGGCCCGAGGUUUGCCAAGCGGCCUUGGUAUAGCACCGGUAGACCGCCUGUCAAGUUUCGUGCCAUUUGGAGGUCGUUUGGUACUCCAACGGUUAACCGGGUAACCAUAAAGCCCUCUUUGAGUUGCAGCCCAACACCCCUUCCAAAGUGGCCCAAAACCCAUCUAACUCCCCUCCAUGUUCUCGGUCGUUCGAUCACGAUCGCGUGGCCGAAAACCACUCCUCAUUUGGACUCUCCUAGCUCCCUCCACCUAUAAAAACGUCUUCCCCUCUCCAUUUUCGGAUCAUUUCCCCCCGAAACCCUAACCCCGCUCCUCUCCGCGCCGCCGGACACGUCCGAUCUGGACCGGACGCGUCCGCCGGCCACCUCACUCCGGCCAAUAGCAGGCUGCCACGUCACCCCGCCGCCGCCGCUAGCUACCCACACACCGCCACCUCACCCGCGCCCGCACCCUCUCUCUCCUCCCUCCGCCGCAGCCCGCGGGAGGCCCUCCCGGCCCGGUCGGCUGCCGCCGCUGGCGGCACCCCGUGCCUCCCGGGCCCGCGCUCGCCCUCCGCGUCGCUAUGCCAUCCAUCAUCGCCGGCGACCGGGGCCUCGCCGGAGCCCCACAUCGCCGGCCCCGCCGCCCUGCCUCGCGGGUNNNNNNNNNNNNNNNNNNNNNNNNNNNNNNNNNNNNNNNNNNNNNNNNNNNNNNNNNNNNNNNNNNNNNNNNNNNNNNNNNNNNNNNNNNNNNNNNNNNNNNNNNNNNNNNNNNNNNNNNNNNNNNNNNNNNNNNNNNNNNNNNNNNNNNNNNNNNNNNNNNNNNNNNNNNNNNNNNNNNNNNNNNNNNNNNNNNNNNNNNNNNNNNNNNNNNNNNNNNNNNNNNNNNNNNNNNNNNNNNNNNNNNNNNNNNNNNNNNNNNNNNNNNNNNNNNNNNNNNNNNNNNNNNNNNNNNNNNNNNNNNNNNNNNNNNNNNNNNNNNNNNNNNNNNNNNNNNNNNNNNNNNNNNNNNNNNNNNNNNNNNNNNNNNNNNNNNNNNNNNNNNNNNNNNNNNNNNNNNNNNNNNNNNNNNNNNNNNNNNNNNNNNNNNNNNNNNNNNNNNNNNNNNNNNNNNNNNNNNNNNNNNNNNNNNNNNNNNNNNNNNNNCUCGUGUCGGCGCCGUUCCCCGCCGGGGACCCCCACCGCGCCGCCUCCCGCGCCUGGCCGCCGGAUCCGCCCCGUCCCCGCCGUCCGCCGGCGUCCUCGCCUCGCCGGAUUUGCAGCGCCGCCCCUACCUCGCUCGAUCCAGGCGGGAUCGAGGAGGACGAACCCCUCCGCGGGCCAAGGCCCAGCCCCGUCCAGAUCCGACCCAGCCUCCUCGGCCCAGCGGCCUCCAGGCCCAACGUCCAGCUCCAGCGGCCCAGCCGGCCUCCCCUCCAAGGCCCAGCGCCAGGCCUCCUCUGCUUCCGACCCGGGCCAGGCCCAAUGUGAGCACAACCCCAGCCCAGCACCCAGCGGUUUCAGCCCGUGUAUAUUUUUUCCUGCUACUGCGGUUUUAACAUUAUCCAUUGUAUUAACAGUUUUACAGAAAAACCCCUCCAUGUUCAUGCAUUAAUAACUCAUUAACCGUGCAUCGGAUUAAAACAAACUUUAUAUGUAAAAUGCUUAGAAUUUCAUCUAGUUUCAUAAUAUGCCAUUUUCAUCCAUGUUUAAAAUGUAUAAAAUGUUGUUUUUUUAAUUUUGCUCAAAUAGCAUGUUAAAAUGAUUUAUUUCAUAACUAAUUAACCGUAGCUCCAUUUUAAAUAAACUUUAUAUGUAAAUGGGGUGAAAAAAUGCCUAGUUUAACAUGGUCCACUUUAUUUUCCUGUUUAACAACUUUAAAAUAUGGUUUAGGACAGAACAGUACCAAUUUCGAAAUAUGCAUAUGAGGACUUACCGGAAUUGUUAUAUGUUGUUCCCGGCCUCAUUUAAACUUGCCUUGAUGUGUUGUUCUUGUGUGCAUCAUCUCUUGCCAUGAGUAGCUUCAUGUAGCUUGGUCAUGCAUCAUGCUUGUUGUGCAUCAUGUCAUGUUCAUGUGUGGUGUGUUUACCAUGUAGUGUGCUUCUUCUCGAUAGUUCCCGUUUCGUUGCGAUCGUGAGGAUUCGUUCGUCUUCGGUUGGUUCGGCUUCAUCCGUUCAUCUUCUUCAUGGACUCGUUCUUCUUCCUUGCGGGAUUUCAGGCAAGAUGACCGCUACCCUGGAUCUCACUACUAUCAUUGCUAUGCUAGUUGCCUCGUUCUUUCGCUAUGCUGCGCUACCUAUUACCUGUUUGUCCAGCCAUCCCAUAUUGCCAUGAACCUCUAACCUUUGACACCUUUCCUAUGCAAACCGUUGUUUGGCUAUGUUACUGCUUUUGCUCAGCCCCUCUUAUAGCGUUGCUAGUUGCAGGUGAAGUUGAAGAUUUCUCCAUGGUGGACAGGGUUUAUGUUGGGAUAUCACAAUAUCUCUUAUAUUAUUAAUGCAUCUAUAUACUUGGUAAAGGGUGGAAGGCUCGGCCUUAUGCCUGGUGUUUUGUUCCACUCUUGCCGCCCUAGUUUCCGUCAUACCGGUGUUAUGUUCCCGGAUUUUGCGUUCCUUACGCGGUCGGGUGAUUUAUGGGACCCCCCUGACAGUUUGCUUUGAAUAAAACUUGUCCAGCAAGGCCCAACAUUGACUUUUACCAUUUGCCUCACCUAGCCCUUUUUCCCUUGGGAGUCGCGCUCUCGAGGGUCAUCUUUAUUUACCCCCCCCCCCGGGCCAGUGCUCGUUGUGAGUGUUGGUCCAAACCGUCAGCCGCCGGUGGCCACCAGGGGCAACUCUGGGCUGGCCUACCGGAAGUUUGGACAAUCCGGUGUGCCCUGAGAACGAGAUAUGUGCAGCUCCUAUCAGGAUUUGUCAGCACAUUCGGGCGGCUUUGCUGGUCUUGUUUUACCAUUGUCGAAAUGUCUUGAUGUACCGGGAUUCCGAGACUGAUCGGGUCUUCCUGGGUGAAGGUCUAUUCCUUCGAUGAUCGCGAGAGCCUGUCAUGGGCUAAGUUGGGACACCCCUGCAGGGUAUAAAAUUUCGAGAGCCGUGCCCGCGGUUAUGUGGCAGAUGGGAAUUUGUUAAUGUCCGGUUGUAGACAACUUGACACUUGAUCCGAAUUAAAACGCAUCGACCGAGUGUGUAGCCGUGAUGGUCUCUUCUCGGCGGAGUCCGGGAAGUGAACACGACUUCUGUGUUAUGUUUGACGUAAGUAGGUGUUCAGGAUCACCUCUUGAUCAUUGCUAGCUUCACGUCCGUUCCGCUUGUUCUCUUCUCGCUCUUAUUUGCGUUGGUUAGCCACCAUACCUUUGCUUAGUCGCUGCUGCAACUUCACCACUUUGCCCCUUCCUUUCCCAUUAAGCUUUGCUAGUCUUGAUACCCAUGGUAAUGGGAUUGCUGAGUCCUCGUGGCUCACCAGAUACUUCCAAAACCAGUUUGCAGGUGCCUAUGUUACCGAGCAGGUGACGCAACCAAGCUCAAGGAGGAGCUCGAUGAAGAUCUUGCCUUUUGUGUUGUUUCGUUCUAGUUGAUCAGUAGUGGAGCCCAGUUGGGGUCGAUCGGGGACCUUUUGUCGCAUUUGGGGUUCUUCUUUUAUUUUGGUUCCGUAGCCGGACCUUGAUUGUAUCUGGAUGAUGUAAUGCUUUAUUCAUGUAAUUGUGUGAAGUGGCGAUUGUAAGCCAACUAUGUAUCUCUUUCCCUUAUGUAUUACUUGGGAUGUGUGAAGAUUACCUCACUUGCGACAUUGCUUUCAAUGCGGUUAUGCCUCUAAGUCGUGCUUCGACACGUGGGAGAUAUAGCCGCAUCGAGGGCGUUACAUUGAAGCAGACGCUCCCGGCAAGCUGUGUCCCGACACGUUUGCCGGGGAGCAUCACGCUCCGGCAGGAUCCCAGAUUCUUGCCGUAGAAGCGGAUGUUCCCGCAGCAGCAUUUACGCCUUUAGUCCUUGUUGUCGAGCCACAAGCUCCGACAUGGGCACAACAGAUAGUCCAUUUCCUUCAAACAGGAGAACUUCCGGAAGAGCAAGAAGAAGCAGAGAAAGUAGCCCGGCAAUCAAGUAUGUACCAGUUUGUCGAUGACAUACUAUACAGAAGAAGAUUCAACGGAGUGAAAUUGAAGUGCAUUUCCCGGGAAGAAGGACAAGAGCUGUUGGCGGAGAUACACGGAGGCAUAUGUGGUCACCACAUUGGCGCAAGAGCACUUGCCGGCAGGGCCUUCCGGCAAGGUUUCUUCUGGCCGACAGCCCUCCAGGAUGCAACUGCACAAGUAACCAAGUGUGAAGCGUGCCAGUUCCACUCCAAGCAAAUACAUCAACCAGCUCAAGCUCUCCAAACAAUCCCUUUAUCCUGGCCAUUUUCGGUCUGGGGGCUCGAUAUCCUCGGCCCCUUUCCCCGAGCUGUCGGGGGCUUCGAGUUCUUGUACGUGGCAAUCGACAAGUUCACGAAGUGGCUGGAGGUGGAGGCAGUGAGGAAGGUGACAGCACAGUCAGCAGUCAAGUUCUUCAGGUCAAUUGUUUGCCGUUUCGGAGUCCCUAACAGGAUCAUCACCGACAAUAGCACACAAUUCACGAGCCGCACCUUCAUGCAGUACGUCCAAGAUCUUGGCGCCAAGAUCUGCUUCGCUUCCGUUCCUCACCCGAGAAGCAACGGUCAAGCGGAGAGGGCAAACGCUGAAGUACUGCGCGGGCUCAAGACCAGAACUUUCGACAGGCUGCACAGGUGCGGAAGAAAUUGGAUCGAGGAGCUGCCAGUGGUUCUUUGGUCGAUCAAGACGACGCCAAAUCAAGCCACUGGACAGACACCUUUUGCUCUUGUCUAUUUAGCGGAGGCAGUUCUCCCCAUGGAACUCGUAUACGGAUCGCCUCGAGUGCUCGCUUAUGAUGAGCUUGAGCAAGAGCAGCUGCGGCAAGAUGACGUGCUGCUCCUCGAGGGAGAUCGUCUUCAGGCUGCUGUACGAGCUGCUCGUUACCAGCAAGCUUUGCGCCGCUACCAUAGCCGCAAAGUUAAUGCCAGAAGCUUCGAGGAAGGCGACCUUGUUCUUCGGCGCGUUCAAUCCGCCAAGAAUUCCAACAAGUUGACGCCGAAGUGGGAAGGCCCUUAUCGGGUAAAGCGAGUCACUAGGCCCGGCGCUGUCCGCCUUGAGACCGAAGAUGGCUUUCCAGUGAGUAACUCCUGGAACAUAGAGCAUCUUCGCAAGUUUCACCCAUAAGGCGCGGUUGCCAGGACCCGUUCCGACAACCACCUUUUGUACAAGCAUUGCCGCUGUCGCAUGUAACCCUUUGUACAAAGCCGGGCGCAGAUCCCGUGCAUAAAUAAAGAUUUUAUGUUCAGUACAUGUUGUCAAAUUUCGUGCAUUCUUCUUUUUAGCAUGUAUACACUGACACUUUGUGCAGAACUUACCCCCGGUAAGCAGCAACGAGCUUCAAGGCUCCAUAACUUUAUUUUCUCUUCUUUCUUUUGCUCAAAAAGAAGGUUCCUCCGCCCACAAGUUCACCAGGGGGGGGGGGGAGAAGAAGAUAAACAUGUGGACCGGGCGUCGUUCAAAGAAGCAUAAGCCUUGCCGGGACACAAGCGACAGAAAAGCUAAGUUGCCAAAGUUUGAGCACUGACAUUUUUAAAAUUUUUAAGUUAUAUUCCUUGAAGGACCGUGCCUUGUAUGGAAAACCUGUGCGCGGAGGAGUCGGCUCGUGGCUAAGUUGCGCCCUUACUUUGUUUCGAGUCCGCUCAACAAUGAAAGUGCGCUGCAACUAGCCCGACAAGGUUUCUUGCCGGAGGUAACACCGCCAGCAGGCUGCUGAUGUUCCGCACUCAGCGCUCGCGGCAAGUGUGUUCGCACCGGCAAGUUCCCUAAAAGCGUAAGGGUAAAAACAUACAAGGGAUGGAAUCAAAUAAAGGAAGUAACAUAGCGAAUAGUACCCAGAAUAAAGUUAUAUUACAAUAAAUAACUUGCCGCGCUCUAAUGGAUUGUUCCUAUGACAUAUCUAGCAGCGGCAAGAAGAAGGAAGGGAGAAGAAGAGUGGCCUAAUCUGCGCGACUCGCCAUCGAUCCUCCUGACUUCGUUCACCUUGUCCACGAUGGGUGCCACGAUGGCUUUGAGCUCCUCAAGAUCAGCACCCGCCGGCAAUUUCUUGAGAACGCGGGAGAAGUCGAGGCCUGGAUUGCGGAAGAGGAUCUUCACCAGCACCUUCUCCAAGACCUUGGCGCAGAUUGCGCGCGACUCGUCCGCCAGCUUCUUCGGGAUCCUUUCCCGGAGUUGCUGGAGGGCCGUCACCACGCCCUUGAAGAAGAGAGUAAGCUUGGCGCUGGGCUGGAGGUUCUCGUCGGAGGAGUACCCAAAGCCCGCCAAGUCCAGCUCCGCCAGCUCCUCGUCGAUGGAUGCAGCAAUGUUGAUGAGGCCCUCUAUCCAGAGCUCCACCGUAGCCCUGAAGGUGUUCUGGGUCUCAGCGGCCCUCGUCAGCAGCUCCUCAUUGCCCUUGAUCUCCUUCUUCAAGUCAUCCUCUCGCCUCUUGGCGGCGUCCAGUGCCUCCGUCAAGGUGGCCAGCUUCAGCUCCAGAUCAACGCUUGAGUCCUUGGCGGCGUUCAGUUCAUUAGCCUUCUCGGCGAGUUGAACUUGCAGAUCGCCAUGGGCAAGUGCAUCCUUCUCGCGUUCGCGCUGGAGUGCGGCAAGCUCUUCAUUCCUCUUUCCCAUACCCGCCUCCAGCUGCGCCACUUUCUCCUCUAACUCCUUCUUGGCGGCCUCAGCAGCCGCGGCGGCAUCCUUCGCCUCCUUGAGUGCACCGCCAAGUGAUUGCUCCCGGGCCUCGAGCUCCUCCUCGUGACUGUCCAGACUAGCCUUCUUCUGUGUGAGCUCACCUUCCCGCCUGGACAUCUCCUCGGUGGCGAGCCUCUGCUGCUCCUCGGGUUCAGCCUUCUCCAGGAUGAACGCCUCCUUUGCCUCGUCAAGUUGCACCCUCUCCUCCGCAAUGGAUCGGAGGGCCUCCUGGUUGCGGUUCUGGAGGUCCUGCGCGUGUUUCUCUAUGUCAACUCCCGCCUGCGCGACAAGCGCUUCCCGGGACUCGAGCUUUGCUUGCCGGGCACGGUAGAGUGACACCAACUUCCGGAGCAGCUGCUCCUCCUCGGACUCGCCACUCCUGCUGCUAGGCGCGUCAACCACUGCCAGCCCAGCAGAGGCGAGUACUUCUCCAUCAAACUCCUCUUCUUCAACCGGCGCCCUGGAGCUCGACGCCCAGGGAAGCUUGAUGUAUACGCCCUCGCUGGCCUUCAAGUAUGCGCCUGGCUGGGGCUCCUCGGAGCCCGGCACUGCAUCAGCGGCGGAGGGGUCGGCAGACGGUGUAGCGCCUUGCGCUCCUGCGCCCUCCGGGUCGUCAGUACGAUCGCCGGACCCCUCGCCGGCUCCUGCGCCAGCAGCCUUGGCGGCUUCCUCAUCGGCGGGUUCCUCAGCGCCGGCCUCUUCCUCGCCAGCGGCGGCAUCUCCAGUAUUGCCGCGUGCGCCUUCCUCGCCGGUGGCCUCAGUCUCCAUCGGGUCUGUGAGAGGGGGAUCUGAGGACAGGAAGAGGAAGGAGAAGUCAAGCAAAUAUCCAAAAAAAAAGAAGAAGAAAGAAGAUCAGAAGAAGAACCCAAGGGAAGAUUUCCGACAAGAAGGGUUACCUGUGCUGGGCUCCGUGACCAUGGGCUCCACCACUGGGGGCUCACUGGUUCCGCCCCUUGCCGGGGAGCACUCCCUUGUCGGAGAAUCGCCCCUUGGUGGCGUAGUUGAAGCCGACAGCACAUCCGGGGUGGCCUCUGGUUGCUCCUGGUGGGCCUGUUCUGCUCCUACACAAAUGAAUCAACAAUCAAGAUGUCAGCAAAAGAAGAAGCACCCAUGCGCGUCCCACAACAGGGAGUAAACCAAACACUUACGCUGGGGGCUGUGCUGGGGGCUGCUGCAAGGAGAAGGGAUGGGGUCCGUCAAGGUGGUCUCGGACGUGUCUUCUGCCAUCACAGCAGGAUCGUCCUCGAUGACAACCACGGGGACCUUGGCCCUCUUCGCCGCUCUCUCGGCCAGAGUCCUGAAAUGAAGCAGGGAUUCAGAGAGAAGCAAAUCAGAUGCAAGACAAGAAACGACAAAGAUCAAAGAAAAUCAAGAACAGCGAGAAGAAAGUCUUACUCCUCCUCCUCCUCUUCAUCGUCAUCGGAGCUCAGCGCGGAGAGGUCGAAGUCUGGUACCCUCUCUGCGCGGCAUGGCGGAGGAGUAGGCUCCCUUCGAUGUUUGCCAGGAGCUGCGGCAGCAUCAGACGAGGCGGCCCGGGAAGACCCCGCCUCAGUUGGUGGCACAGCCUGGGACCCUCCCGCGGCAACGGUACUUGCCGCGGUGGAGCGUGUCCCACGGCGCCUCGGUUGCUCGACUGCCUGUCCUCCUGCCGUAUCUCCAACUCGACGGAGGCGCCUUCUUGGUUGGAAUUGGGGUUGCGCUGGGGGCUCCGCCUGCGGCAAGCUGCUCGAAGACGGCUGGCCACUCGCGCCCUCGACGGGCUCGCUCGCUUCGGCCUCGGGCUCCCCCUGGCCAACGACCUCUCCGGCAAGGUCCUCCCUGUCGGCAAGGCUUGCCGCCUCGGCCGCCUCUGCCUCCUCCAACGUGAAGCCGAACUCGCCCGCGGCGGCGGCUGCCGCCGCCUCUUCGGCCCUGCUGGCGAUGUACCGCAUCUCAUUUUCGGUGGUGGCGCGGGUGAGAAGCUUCUUUUCGUCGGCGUUGACUGCUACCUCCAUCAAGCCAUUGAAGAAUUGCUGCACGACAUCGUCAGCGGGCUCCAUCCAAGUUGGGAUUAUCCCGUGUGAAUCGCACUCUGGCAUCAUUGCGCAGAUGCGAUCGCGCUGGGAGUUGUUGCACAAUGGGAUGAUGCCCUGCGGCAGCCUGAACCACUCUGGAUGGUUGGCGUCGUGCUUGAACAGCUCCCUCAGCAUCCUGUCAAGCUCCAGAACUGUGAAGUUGAAAUUGAGGCCCGGGCGCAGCCUCAUGUUAUCCGCCGGGCCGCCAAACUGCCAGGCGGGCCUGCCCCUCUUCUGCAGAGGGGCGAUGCGACGGCGAAGGAAAUCUGCGCCAACCGCCCCUGCUGUGAGCCCGGCAAGCCUGAGCCGGAGGAUUCGGGUGGUGGCAAUCUUCAGCUUGGUGUCGUCCGGCGACAGAGCGCCCCAGUCGCCGCCGCGAACUUCCCGAGCCUGGCGCAGGUUGGUGAAGGGCUGCGGAUUGGCAUCACAGAUCCAGCACCACUCCGCCCUCCACUCAUCCCACUUGUUGCGGAGCUCGCCCGCCAGAUACACCUCCUUCAUGCCAAGUCGAGAGGUCCAGGCGACUCCGCCAGCCAAUGGCUCUCCUUUUUCGGCUCGGGGGGUGAAAUAAUGGCGAAAAAGAGCAACAUUUGGGUGGAUGCCAACAAAGUUCUCGCAGAGGUGUGCGAAAACCGCCAUUGUCAGAACGGCGUUGGGGUGAAAUCAAGAAGAUGAAACCCGUAGGUAUUCAUGAUGUCGCAGAAGAAGUCCGAAAAAGGUGGCAGAGCCCGCACUAGAAGAACACCGGAAAGAAAUAGUACCCUUUUGGGCACCGCUUCAAUUUGGAAGCCUCAGCGGAAAGCACCGGCGUGCGCGGAUGCGCCCGCAUCUGUGUCGACCAGAAGAGGUAGAACUCCUCCCGCAGCGCCUUCGGGGUGAGCUCGGCGGGGAAAAGCACUCGCUUCUUGCACAGCGCCUCAAGCCGCAACGCCUCGGCCUACUUCGCGGCCUUGCUGGUCUUCGGAGCCAUGGCGGAAGCGGCGAAGGAGCGCGGAAGCGUUGGGGACGACGGCGGCGACGGGCGGCGAAGCGCUGCUCUCUUUCGACUUGGGAAGCGGAGGGGAUUGGCGGAGCUUUCGGAGGAAGGAACUGCAAGUAGCGAAGGUGGGGGAACGGCCCUGUUUCCUCUGCUUAUAUACAGGGGAGGCGAACGUUACACAUUUCCUGGACUUAAAAAAAUUGCCCACGACCUCUCCCACGACGCCGCGAUUGACGCGUGCCGUUACGGGAGGCCGCGGUGGAUACGGAGCGGAUUUGGUUUGGACCCAGGCCGCGCGUGCCCGUGCCCUGUUUUGGGCCUGGCCCAACAGCGCUCGGCACCGUGUAUGGCCCAGGCCCGGGGGCUCCUGUCGGUGUACUAAAGUAGGGGUACCUUAGUACCCCGAACUUGUGCACGGGCAGUCACAGCGUCCUGCGGCAAGGCUUGCCGGACGCCCGCCAAGACCCUCCAUCAUUCCCAUUUACUACCAUUCAAGAACAAAGUGUUAACUUUGAAGACAAGGCCCCGGCAAGAGGAGCUUGCCGGGAAGAACAAGACCCCGGCAAGAAGAGCUUGCCGGGAAGGACAAAACCCCGGCAAGAGGAGCUUGCCGGGAAGGCCAACCAAGGCACUUCAAAAAACUUGCCACGACGCGCCGCGCGUCCCGGCAAGACCCGACGAGCGGCAAGCUUGCGGGUGCGACAAGAUAGCGACCGCGGCAAGGCGCUUGCCGCGGCAAAGCCACCACUCUGCGCCCACGCUCCAGCUCACCCGACGACGUGUCGCCACAGGAUCAUUCCUGGUGCACGUGGCGUGUGGUUGUGCAGCCUAGCGGUGCGAGGUGGCGAGCGAAGGUGACUAGGAGUCCAUCGUGGCGAUCGGUGGCGCCCCUAACGGUCGUUUCCUGCACUGUUGGAACAACCAGACGGGCAGUAAAUGCUCUUGUCCCCUGCCGUCAGAGUUAGGUAGGGGGCACUGUAGAUUGCAGUGUACCAACCCACAUUUUUACCUUUCUACCCCUCUCUCUGCGUUACCACCUGUCGGUGACCCCUUUAGACUAUAAAAAGGAGGCCCGUGCGCACGUAGGGGGGGUUGGGGUCGGUUCGGUUCGACUCAUUCGAAACCACAGCAUACCCACGCUUUCGAGCAAGAACAAAUACAAACACAAAGCAGCAGUAGGAGUUUUAUCUCUCCGGAGAGCUCCGAAGCUGGGUAAAAAUCCCCCGCGCGCCCGACCUCGAUCUGCUCUUCAUGCACCCUCCGCUCCCUGCCGGACCAGAAAAGGGGCCCUGCCCCAUAGGUUCUCGUCUCACGCCACGACACAAUGGCUGCCAUCUCCUUGUGGUCUGUCGUCCGCCCGUCCCGAAGAGCGCUGGAGCGCGAGGAAGCCAUGGUGGGCAGUAGUGGUGUCGGCAGGAGAAAGAGAACGGAGGCGGAUGACUAUGGCUAUGGCCGGCGCGACAGUUUAUAUAGAAAUGGUGGGUGGCGGAGGGACAUACGUGUGGCGCUGGAGUAGUUGCCUUGGCAACCGCAUAUCAUUACUGUGGGUGGCAGAUGGAUGGACGGACGGUAAUCGCCUGCAGCGGGAAGCGGGGCGGGUGGCGCUGACUGUUUCGGGCAGAAAGCGCGUGCGGGCGAGGGAGGCGGUCUGGGUGGGCCAGGGCAAUCAGACUCGUGCUUGACAGCGGGUCGGUCCAGCAGCCAGACAUGCUGGCUCUCCAGCGAGCUCGCCGAGUUGAGCGACGACAAUCAGACGAUGGACGUAGCUUCCGACCAGGAGCCGGCGCCACUAUCCAAGCCGGUUCAUGCCAUGUUCACCAUAGAGCAGGUGCGGCCGCACUUUGACGCCCUAAGGGCGGAAGAGCUACCAGUGCAGGAGGACCUGUGUUGCAACCUCCGUCUCCUCAAUGAGCACCGAUGAACAAGCGAACGACAAUGCCAUCACGGACAUGUGGCCCUAUGAUCCUGGCUUCCCGAAUAAGCAGCGAGCGCUGUAUCAGACCAUCCGUAGGGCCCGUGAGGCCCUCUCCGUUGUCCUUCGAGUUGUUGUGCUCACCAUGGCGCCGUCGUCUCGCAUUGUCAACAUGGUCAAUGGACAUGAGGAAUGAGGAGAUGACUUUACUUGGAGAGGAUGACAGUGGGGACCCACCAGAGCCAUAGCCGCACGUACGCAAGUGCCUCCUUAUUAUAUACAACUAUAUUUUUUUGCUUCCUCCUAGUUUCCUGACAUCACGGUCCCACACCAUUGUCAACCUAUGUAGUCAAUAAAUGAGAGAAUUGCACAAGGAGCGGCCGAUAGUUGGGACCAAGCAGCUCGAGCAGUAUUUGUGCUUUUGAGGUGUGAGCACUGCAGAGUUUUUCUUGAGCGAUGUUUUCGGUGUUGUUCAGAGGAGAGUAGGGUAUUAACUCGGCGGGCUGUGGCCCGUCUAGCCCAGGCCAGAUAUCCAGCCCAGAUAUUAAUUUUUUUCAAGCUGAAAAUGGCUAGCCCAGCUAUACUUUUUUUGAGGAAUACCCAGGCAAGGUCAACUUGUUAUUCUCCGCCCCGCUCGGCUGCAAAUCUUUCCUUGGAGGGAUGCAUUAGGCUUAACAAGAAAAUGGGCUUUAAGAAAUAAUAAAUGGGAUGUAAUUAUAAAAACUUGGCAGUAACUAUAAAAAAAUGCACCAAACACGUAAUUACUUUAUAAAAUAUUAUUUUUGGAUUUUGAAAAUUUUAAUUUAAUUAAUUGUUGCAUGCGCAAUGUUUCGUUGGAUUUUUAUGUAAUAUAAAUUUAUAUUGAAAUUGUAUUUAAUCUGCCUAGAAAUUUCAGGAUAAAAAUAUUUCAGAUCCCAUCAAAAUGUGGGAAAUUUUAUUGAAUUCUAUUUUGAACGGUUGGAUGAAAUUAUUAAUCGUUGUCCUAGCUAGAAAAUGGGUGUACUUUUAACAAACUGUAAAUGGGUUGUAGUAAAUUCCAUUAGAAUUAAAAAAUGGGUUGCACAUUCUUACAAAUCUCAAAUGAGAUAUAAGUUCUCUGCCACACACUUGUGGGCUUACUAAGUUGACGCGUCCCCUAAAAAAAAUAAGUUGACGCGUAUGCAAGGCUUUGUCAACUUAUAGUCAACACACAGUUCUGGCAGCAGUGGCCAUUGGAUGUCCAUCCAACGGAUGUCGUGCUUCUGCUUCAAUCUCGUAUAUUCUAGCUUCACCCGCCCAAAAAGUUAUUCCUCCCCCUGACAUCUGGGGCGCACAGUUUCAGAAGCCGACUUAUGGUCCUACUAAGUUAACCCGUACCAAGGGCUUUGUCAACUUAGUCAAUAUAAACGAUUCUAGCUGCAGUGACCGUACGAUGUCCAUCCAGCAGCCGUCAUGCUUCUUCAACCUCUGGUCUUCUUGCUCCAGCCGCCCAAAGUAGCGUCGGUUGUGCCACCUGCUCCUGUCUCCCGUUGUCGGCUGUGCUGCCGCGGAGGCCUCACCGCCCCCUACUACUCCCACUGCUGGCCAGGCCAUCCCUCCACUCAGCCACACCCCCUGUUAUUCUGCGGCGACGGCAGCCUCACACCGCAGUCGAACUAGUGAACCCUCGUACUCCUCUCCGCAUGGGCAUCCACUGUCGCGUCUUCCCCGGCUCCGCGUUGUCCCUUUCCUAGGCCUCACUGUCCUCCACCGCCUUGGUGCUCUCAGUGCGGCGUGGUCAAUGUGGUCAACGACCGACUUCCAUCGGAAGAGUACUGUACGUGGAGAGGCUGACAGCUGGCUCCACGGCCGCAGCAAGGAAGUGCCUCCUUAUUACGCGGAAAAUAAUGAUUCCUCCACCUGACAGCAGGGACCCACCGGACGGGCCACCGUAUUUCGCAAAAAAAAGUUUCCCCCUGACUGCUAGGACCUACCAGCUACAUCUUCGCAUGCAAGGAAGUGCAUUGAUAUUACGAGCAAAAAAAUGAUUCACCCUCUGAAUGCUGGGACCCACCAGCUACAUCUUCGCACACAAGUAAGUGCCUGACAGUCGGGACCCACCUGGUCGAAGCGUACGUAGCGUUGUCAUUCCAGUCACGAACGUGUACAUACAUACUGGUCGAUGUAGAGGCACGUACGUGUCGUAGAAGAGGCACGCAUGUAGCAUAUACACGUACGUACAGUGGCCAGGGUGCAAGAAAGAAAAUACAGCCACGUACGUACAUACGGGCGGGGUCUCGAACGCCUACUCGCGCAUACGUACGGCCAGGGCUCAUGUACAUGGUUGGGUCAGAAUUGAGAAACUGCUCGUCGUCGUGUUCAUGGGGAGCCAACCGGCUGGGUCGGAACAUAAUGCGUCGUCGUGUUCAUCGGUUGGGCUUGGACGGAACAGCUGAUGGAAACGAGGCUUGGCGUACCACAGAAUGGGGGAAACGGCCUUGUGUUUGACCGGCCACGAUCAAAACGGGAUCCCGUUCAUCAGGAGAGGUCUGGCGUACUGCAAAACGGAGGAAACAGACUUCUGUUGAAUCUUCUAUGGUCGAAACGGGGUCCUGUUGACCGGGAGGAGUGUGGCGUACCGCAAAACGGAGGAAACAGACUUGUGUUGGAGCACUACGGUCGAAAUAAGGGUUCUGUUCGUCAGGAGUGGUGUGGCGUACCGCAAAACGGGACUCCACAGGAUACUAUUUAUCUCCACCGUCGACCUCCUCCAGCCUCCAGGGGCUACUGUUCAUCCACCUCGACCUCCUCCAGCCUCCACCUGCGACUAUUCAUCCACGGGCUCCUGUUCAUCCAGCCUCCACCGCGCGCUCCUCCACCGGCUACUGCUCAACCAGCCCUCUCCACGGGGUCCUAUUCAACCACCCCUCCACGGGCUACUUUCAUCUAGCCCUCCACAGGAUACUGUUCAACCAGCCCUCCAUGGGGUCGUCCUGUUCAUCCAGCCCUCCACGGGGUCCUGUUCAUCCACCCCCAACCGGCUUGAUCGGGGUCCUGUUCAUCCAGAGGCAACACCACGGGGUCCUGUUCAUCCACCCCCAAUGGGAACUGUGUAACGCCCCGAAUACAACUUUCCAUAUUCGUAACUGCAACUCUUGCCUUUUCCGGAGAUGUGAUAUGUUAUUCCCUUCGUGGUUGGGUUUUUGUCUUUUGUUUUGCAUUUUGUUCAUGUCUUGCAUCUCAUCUUAUAGUAUCAUGUGCAUCGCAUCCAUAUGUUUUCAUAAAACCCGUACCCGUUCGUAGUUGCCGCGUUCCCCUUGCCUCCUUUGACCGUUCCGAGACCAACCGAGUUUCUCGAGUCCCUCUUGUCUGACCACCUAACCUCUCUGCACAACCAUCGGCCUCCUCUUGUGCGUGUCCGAAACUUACCCGAACCCGAACCGGUCUGUCGUUUCCGAUGGAUCCGUAUCAUCCCCAAACGUCUACAAAACAUAUCCGUUUUCUCAUUUGGUUUCUCUAGCCUAUUUCCGUGACCACCCGAUUACGAUCGGAGGGACCGGAUAGCCCUAGCGUAAACCACUUGCUAUAUAUAUAUAUAUAUCUAUAUCNNNNNNNNNNNNNNNNNNNNNNNNNNNNNNNNNNNNNNNNNNNNNNNNNNNNNNNNNNNNNNNNNNNNNNNNNNNNNNNNNNNNNNNNNNNNNNNNNNNNNNNNNNNNNNNNNNNNNNNNNNNNNNNNNNNNNNNNNNNNNNNNNNNNNNNNNNNNNNNNNNNNNNNNNNNNNNNNNNNNNNNNNNNNNNNNNNNNNNNNNNNNNNNNNNNNNNNNNNNNNNNNNNNNNNNNNNNNNNNNNNNNNNNNNNNNNNNNNNNNNNNNNNNNNNNNNNNNNNNNNNNNNNNNNNNNNNNNNNNNNNNNNNNNNNNGGGAUCCAAGCCCGCAGCCAGCCUCUCUCCCUCCCUCGUUUUCAGCGUCACCAACCAGAGCCCGAUCCAGAUCCCCUUCGCUCCAAUCAGCCGCUGCCUCCUUCUUCCUCGAUCUCCCCUACCACCUUCUCCCAUCGAUCCAUCCACCCAACCCACGCACAACCAGCCGCUCUCGAUCCAGCCUCGUGGAGCGCUCCUGAGGUCCGAGCUCCUCCAACCUUGCGACCCCGCUACACCGGCGAACCUCGCCGCCGGCAACCACCACCAGCAGAUAAGCCCUGCGCCGCCCCUUCCUUCCUGCUUCUCUCUUCUCCCUCUUACAUCUCCAUCUCGUUUCCUUUUUCCGUCAGAGAACCAUCAGCCGAAGCUGUCCCUGUCGCCCGAGCUCCUCCCUGCUCUGCGUCGCGCCGCUGCUCUGCUUCCCGGAGGACCUCGGCGAGAGCCUCGCUCGCGCCUCAUCCCGCCCCUAUGCGUUGACCACCACGGCCGCCGCGCCGCCCCUCCGCGACGAGCUCCGCCGCCCAAACUGCGCCAUCGCCUGCCGCAGUCCCUGUCGCCGUCGUCUUCAACGGUUCCUGACGAGGACGGCGCCCUCCUGUCCGUCUCGAGCGCCAAGUCCGUCCGCGCCUCGCCUUCCUCCACCUCGCCGACCCCUCCGGAUUCGGCCACUGGAACCCGAGCCCGCGCCGGAUCCUCAUCGCAGUUCCUCAUCGCCGGCCAGUCCCGCCCUCCGCUGCUGCCUUGCCGAUGUCACGCCGGUGCGCCAUUCCCCUGCUUCUGUGUGCGAGCACGCAAGGACGACGACCAGUGCCAAGUUCUGCUCGAGCCGCCUGCGUUGACCCACCUGCCUUCGCGCCAAGGCCUAGCCUCGCCAGAUCAGCAGGCCCAGCGCCCCCCAGCUCCUCUUCCCCGACCGGGCCAGGCCCAAUGUGAGCAGAACCCCAGCCCAGCACCCAGCAGUUUCAGCCUAGUGUUAUUUUUUUCCUGUUGCUGCGAAUUUGCCUAUUAUCCAGAAAACUGCCCAUUUUCAGAAAACCCCUUAAUGUUCAUGCAUCAAUAACUCAUUAACCAUGCAUCGGAUUAAAACAAAUUAUAUAUGUAAAAUGCUUAGAAUUUUGUGUAGAUUAAUAAUUUGCCACUUUCAACCAUGUUAAAUAUGUUUAAUUUGCUGUUUGCAUUAAUUUGCUAAAAUGCCAUGCUAAAAUGAUUUAUUUCAUAAUUAAAUAACCGUAGCUCGGUUUUAAAUAAACUUUAUAUGUAAAUGGGGUGGAAAAAUGCAUAGAAUAACAUGGUCCACUUUAUUUUUCUGUUUAACUACAUUAAAAUAUGGUUUAGGGCAGAACAGUACCGAAUCUAAAAUAUGCAUAUGGGGACUUUCCGGAAUUGUUGUUUGUUGUUCCGGCCUCAUUUAAACUUGACUAAAUAGUUAGUUUACUUUUGAUUCACCCCUUGCCAUGUUUAACAACAUUUAAUAUUGAUGAGUAGCAUAACCGAGAGAACUAAAUACUUGCAUGUGGUGUUUCGUCAAUAUGCAACUCAUUGCAUAUUGAGCUCCACUUAACUUGUAGUGUUGUUUGUGCAUAUUGCCAUGCCAUGCCUCAUUAAACCGGACAUGCAUCAUACUUGUUUGUGCAUCAUGCCAUGUUUAUGCUCGUGCAUUUACCAUGUUGUUUGUUUAUUUCCGGUGUUGCUUCUUAGUUCCGGUAAUGUUGCGAUUGUGAGGAUUCGUUCGACUACUCCCGUUCGUCUUCUUCAUGGACUCGUUCUUCUUCCUUGCGGGAUUUCAGGCAAGAUGACCGCUACCCUGGAUCUCACUACUAUCAUUGCUAUGCUAGUUGCUUCGUUCUAUCGCUAUGCUGCGCUACCUAUCUUUUGCUCUUCAAGCCUCCCAAAUUUCCAUGUCAGCCUCUAAUCUUUUCACCCUUCCUAGCAAACCAUUGCUUGGCUAUGUUACCGCUUUUGCUCAGCCC
rnacentral:lncRNA from 1 species